GGACUACUGGGGUUUCUAAUCCUGUUCGCUCCCCACGCUUUCGCUCCUCAGCGUCAGUUACGGCCCAGAGACCCGCCUUCGCCACCGGUGUUCCUCCUGAUAUCUGCGCAUUUCACCGCUACACCAGGAAUUCCAGUCUCCCCUACCGCACUCAAGCCAGCCCGUAUCGACUGCAGGCCCGGAGUUGAGCCCCGGGUUUUCACAGUCGACGUGACAAGCCGCCUACGAGCUCUUUACGCCCAAUAAUUCCGGACAACGCUUGCACCCUACGUAUUACCGCGGCUGCUGGCAC
rnacentral:rRNA from 1 species